rnacentral:lncRNA from 1 species
CCCGGAGAGAUUGCUGAAAAUAGAGACGCUGAGGACUCGCAUCCUCUGCUUCAGAUGGCGGACCAAGAGGAAGGCAAGGACCACCAGGAACUUCUGGACAAAAAGGCUUAGUGGGUGCUCAGGGGAAUCCUGGGCCUCCAGGGCCAAAUGGUUCAAAAGGAAAAGCUGGACCAAGAGGAGUGAAGGGAGAGAUUGGUGAUGUAGGAGAAAGAGGCCCACAGAGUCGACAAGGACCAAGAGGGCAACCUGGUGAACCUGGAUUCCCUGGCUAUCCUCGUGCACAAGGAGAAGAUGGUGACCCGGGCCAUCAAGGAGAAAAGGGGGCAAAGGGAAUAAGAGGGAAGAGGGGUAAUGCUGGCUUUCCUGGAUUUGUUGGAACUUCGGGUGACCAAGGCCCACCAGGACAAAUGGGUAUCAAGGGCCCCAAAGGUUUGGUAGAUAUGACGCCUUGCAAAAUUGUUGAUUUCACACGCGAAAACUGCCGUAAGU